GACGAACGCUGGCGGCGUGCUUAACACAUGCAAGUCGAACGGAAAGGCCCUGCUUUUGUGGGGUGCUCGAGUGGCGAACGGGUGAGUAACACGUGAGUAACCUGCCCUUGACUUUGGGGUAACUUCAGGAAACUGGGGCUAAUACCGGAUAGGAGCUCCUGCUGCAUGGUGGGGGUUGGAAAGUUUCGGCGGUUGGGGAUGGACUCGCGGCUUAUCAGCUUGUUGGUGGGGUAGUGGCUUGCCAAGGCUUUGACGGGUAGCCGGCCUGAGAGGGUGACCGGCCACAUUGGGACUGAGAUACGGCCCAGACUCCUACGGGAGGCAGCAGUGGGGAAUAUUGCACAAUGGGCGGAAGCCUGAUGCAGCAACGCCGCGUGCGGGAUGACGGCCUUCGGGUUGUAAACCGCUUUCGCCUGUGACGAAGCGUGAGUGACGGUAAUGGGUAAAGAAGCACCGGCUAACUACGUG
rnacentral:rRNA from 1 species